CACAUAUGUCGGUCAAUUCUUUAUUUUUCCCCCAAAUACAAAUUUUUGGGGGAGAGAAACAGAGUAAACCCAAAUUGUCACCAGAUUUUAUAGAGAAGGAAGGCGCGUCCUUAGUUCCAAGCACUUAGGGGUUAUUCCUCGACCAGCAUGGUUCAUCAUUUGCGAGUGAAUCAGAAGUCAAAAGGAAGGAAACAUGUGGCACAAUUCGAAGAAGAAGCGUGCCGGAUCAGGGCGGCGUAAGCCACCGUCCGAUAAUACUUCAAUCGACACAAGCUUCUCUCGCAAGAGCUUGCAGUUCUUUAUAGUGAGACAUUGAUAUAUUGAGAUUUGAGUUGCAUAUAAGGACCUUUUGCUGUAAGAAAUCAGUUUGUAGUCAUCAUUUUGGAUUGGAAACAUAAUGUGAGCGACGAUGGUUAACACACUUACAACGGCACAAACCCUCGCCGCCAUCUCCGCUAGCAUCGGAGUGGUUCCUACGGGCAAGUAAUAGUGCCGACUAGGGUUUCGAACAAGUGUGUGGCUUCUGUUCGUUACAUUUCUAAUCUUGGUUAAUUCCAACAAUAGCAUAUUAGUGAGAAUUCAGCGGAGACGAUGGCACAUGGGCGGUGGACAUGGCUGGUGGAGCAGUAAGUAGUGUGUUAGGUAUAGCACAAGGUGCAGAAACCGGUGCGGCCAACAUAGCCGAAGGUGUGGCUGGCACGAUGAAAAACACAUUUUGACAGUAACCAAUGCUCAUAGAAUAGUAACUGGAAUGCCAACAUUUAGAUGAAGAGUUGAAUUCUACUCAUUUCGAUGUAAGUUCAAAUUUGAUCUAACAUCAGAAAUGGAGUAAAUCAUUUUUUUUUCUUAAUCGCUUGGAUUAACAUAAUGAGCCCAUGUUUAAGCGAUUUGACUCCA